rnacentral:rRNA from 1 species
AUUGAACGCUGGCGGCAUGCCUUACACAUGCAAGUCGAACGGCAGCACGGACUUCGGUCUGGUGGCGAGUGGCGAACGGGUGAGUAAUGCAUCGGAACGUACCAUUGAGUGGGGGAUAACGUAGCGAAAGUUACGCUAAUACCGCAUAUUCUCUCCGGAGGAAAGCAGGGGAUCGUAAGACCUUGUUAUCUUUGAGCGGCCGAUGUCGGAUUAGCUAGUUGGUGGGGUAAAGGCUCACCAAGGCUACGAUCCGUAGCGGGUCUGAGAGGAGGAUCCGCCACACUGGGACUGAGACACGGCCCAGACUCCUACGGGAGGCAGCAGUGGGGAAUUUCGGACAAUGGGGGCAACCCUGAUCCAGCCAUGCCGCGUGAGUGAAGAAGGCCUUCGGGUUGUAAAGCUCUUUCAGUCGGGAAGAAAACGCAUGGGUUAAUACCCUGUGUGGAUGACGGUACCGGAAUAAGAAGCACCGGCUAACUACGUGCCAGCCGCCGCGGUAA